AAUGUAAUAGCUCAGUCAGUUGUAGAGCUUCAGCUUCAUAUGCGGGAAGACCUGGGUUCGAUUCCCGGCUGCUUCC
rnacentral:tRNA from 1 species